GAAUACGGUUGUGUCGUGUGGGACCCCGCCGAUGUAACCUUCAUUGCUGCUCUUGAAAAAAUACAAAAUCGUGCUGCCAGGUUCGUCUUGGGAUGGUACGGAAGGAGGGAGAGCAGCACUGCAAGAAGGCUGAGCUAGGAUGGGAGUGUCUUUCUGACCACCGCCAUAAACAGAGAUUAAAAUUUCUUUUUUUGAUUUACUAUAAUAAAACUGGAAUUAAAAGAGAAAUUUAUCUACACAAACCUCAUUACACUUCAAAAGUUUUGGUCAUAGUUGCAAAAUCCUGGAAUACCCAGCUAAAACGAACAUGUGUGCCAUUUCUUUUUUUCCUACAAGAAUUAAACAGUGGAACAGGCUAACUGAAAAGCAAGUACAUAGUGGGAACGAAGAUGUAUUUUAUUCAAUGCUGUAAUCCCGUGCUGUAACCUGAACGAAGAUGUAUUUAUGUGUGAACAAAGUUGUAUUAUGUGUGUGAACGAAGAUGUACUUCAUUUAUUGAUGUAACCCCCCUGCUAUAACGCCUUCGGGCGCUGCGGGGUAUCUGAUGAAUGAAGACUAAAGAAUAA